rnacentral:RNase_P_RNA from 1 species
GUAAACUCCACCCGGAGCAAGGCCAAAUAGGGGUUCAUAAGGUACGGCCCGUACUGAACCCGGGUAGGCUGCUUGAGCCAGUGAGCGAUUGCUGGCCUAGAUGAAUGACUGUCCACGACAGAACCCGGCUUAUCGGUCAGUUUCACCU